UACUACCGAAGCUACGGCAUCAGUAAUGAUGGGUAGGGGAGCUUCCCAUACGGGUUGAAGCAUGACCGUAAGGACAUGUGGACAGUAUGGGAGUGAGAAUGUUGGCAUGAGUAGCGAGAUGUGGGUGAGAAUCCCACAGGCCGUAAACCCAAGGUUUCCAGGGGAAGGUUCGGCCGCCCUGGGUUAGUCGGGACCUAAGCUGAGGCCGAAAGGCGUAGGUGAUGGACAACAGGUUGAUAUUCCUGUACUACCGAUAACCGUUUGAGAGAAGGGAUGACACAGUAGGAUAAGCUAAGCACA
rnacentral:rRNA from 1 species